GACGAACGCUGGCGGCGUGCUUAACACAUGCAAGUCGAACGCCCCGCAAGGGGAGUGGCAGACGGGUGAGUAACACGUGGGAACGUACCCUUUGGUUCGGAAUAACUUGGGGAAACUCAAGCUAAUACCGGAUAAGCCCUUAUGGGGAAAGGUCUACUGCCGAAGGAUCGGCCCGCGUCUGAUUAGCUAGUUGGUGAGGUAAUGGCUCACCAAGGCGACGAUCAGUAGCUGGUCUGAGAGGAUGAUCAGCCACACUGGGACUGAGACACGGCCCAGACUCCUACGGGAGGGAGCAGUGGGGAAUAUUGGACAAUGGGGGCAACCCUGAUCCAGCCAUGCCGCGUGAGUGAUGAAGGCCUUAGGGUUGUAAAGCUCUUUUACCCGGGACGAUAAUGACUGUACCGGGAGAAUAAGCCCCGGCUAACUUCGUGCCAGCCGCCGCGGUAA
rnacentral:rRNA from 1 species